AGAUUGAACGCUAGCGGGAUGCUUUACACAUGCAAGUCGAACGGCAGCGCGGACUUCGGUCUGGCGGCGAGUGGCGAACGGGUGAGUAAUAUAUCGGAACGUGCCCAGUAGCGGGGGAUAACUACGCGAAAGCGUGGCUAAUACCGCAUACGCCCUACGGGGGAAAGGGGGGAUUCUUCGGAACCUCUCACUAUUGGAGCGGCCGAUAUCAGAUUAGCUAGUUGGUGAGGUAAAGGCUCACCAAGGCGACGAUCUGUAGCUGGUUUGAGAGGACGACCAGCCACACUGGGACUGAGACACGGCCCAGACUCCUACGGGAGGCAGCAGUGGGGAAUUUUGGGACAAUGGGGGAAACCCUGAUCAGCCAUCCCGCGUGUGCGAUGAAGGCC
rnacentral:rRNA from 1 species